GUGGGGAAUCUUGCGCAAUGGGCGAAAGCCUGACGCAGCCACGCCGCGUGAAUGAUGAAGGUCUUAGGAUUGUAAAAUUCUUUCACCGGGGACGAUAAUGACGGUACCCGGAGAAGAAGCUCCGGCUAACUUCGUGCCAGCAGCCGCGGUAAUACGAAGGGGGCUAGCGUUGCUCGGAAUUACUGGGCGUAAAGGGCGCGUAGGCGGACAGCUUAGUCAGAGGUGAAAGCCCAGGGCUCAACCUUGGAAUUGCCUUUGAUACUGGCUGUCUUGAGUUUGGGAGAGGUGAGUGGAACUCCGAGUGUAGAGGUGAAAUUCUUAGAUAUUCGGAAGAACACCAGUGGCGAAGGCGACUCACUGGCCCAAUACUGACGCUGAGGCGCGAAAGCGUGGGGAGCAAACAGGAUUAGAAACCCCUGUAGUCC
rnacentral:rRNA from 1 species